rnacentral:rRNA from 1 species
GAAGACAACCAGGAGGUUGGCUUAGAAGCAGCCAUCCUUGAAAGAGUGCGUAAUAGCUCACUGGUCGAGUGGUUCUGCGCCGACAAUGUAGUGGGGCUCAAGUACACCGCCGAAGCCGCGGCAAUCACCAUUGGUGGUUGGGUAGGGGAGCGUCGCGUAUGUGCUGUGAAGCGCUGGGGUAACCCUAGUGUGGAGUGUGCGCGAGUGAGAAUGCAGGCAUGAGUAGCGAAUGAGGAGUGGAAAACUCCUCCGCCGAAUGACUAAGGGUUCCUGGGCCAGGUUAAUCCUCCCAGGGUGAGUCGGGGCCUAAGGCGAGGCCGACAGGCGUAGUCGAUGGAUAACGGGUUGAUAUUCCCGUACCCGUGUGUCCGCGCCCAUGGUGAAUCAGGGAUACUAACCCACCUGAACACGCGCCUUUCGCUGACCUUUUAGGUUGGUUGGUGUGUGUGAUGCUGGGGACCUGAACUGGUAGUAGCCAAGUGAUGGGGUGACGCAGGAAGGUAGCCGUGCCACGUGAUGGAUAUCGUGGUGUAAGCGUGUGGCCCGUGUUCUAGGUAAAUCCGGAGCACAGUGGGGUGAGGCGUGAUGCGUACCCGUUUUGGGGAAGUUGGUGAUCCUAUGCUGCCGAGAAAAGCCUCUAGCGAUGUGGAUAUACGGCCCGUACCCGAAACCGACACAGGUAGUCAGGUAGAGAAUACUAAGGCGAUCGGGAUAACUGUGGUUAAGGAACUCGGCAAAAUGCCCCCGUAACUUCGGGAGAAGGGGGGCCAUGACUGGUGACCGACGUGGUUGAGCUGGUUGUGGCCGCAGAGAAUAGAGGGAAGCGACUGUUUACUAAAAACACAGGUCCGUGCGAAGACGAAUAAGUCGAGGUAUACGGACUGACGCCUGCCCGGUGCUGGAAGGUUAAGAGGACCUGUUAGACCCCUUUGCGGGUCGAAGCGGAGAAUUUAAGCCCCAGUAAACGGCGGUGGUAACUAUAACCAUCCUAAGGUAGCGAAAUUCCUUGUCGGGUAAGUUCCGACCUGCACGAAUGGCGUAACGACUUCCCUGCUGUCUCAACCACAGACCCGGCGAAAUUGCAGUACGAGUAAAGAUGCUCGUUACGCGCGGCAGGACGAAAAGACCCCGGGACCUUCACUAUAGCUUGGUAUUGGUGUUCGGUUCGGUUUGUGUAGGAUAGGUGGGAGACUGUGAUGCCUCAACGCCAGUUGGGGUGGAGUCGUUGUUGAAAUACCACUCUGAUCGUAUUGGACAUCUCAACCUCGGCCCGUGAUCCGGGUUAGGGACAGUGCCUGGUGGGUAGUUUAACUGGGGCGGUUGCCUCCCAAAGAGUAACGGAGGCGCCCAAAGGUUCCCUCAGCCUGGUUGGCAAUCAGGUGUUGAGUGUAAGUGCACAAGGGAGCUUGACUGUGAGACUGACAGGUCGAGCAGGUAGGAAACUAGGGACUAGUGAUCCGGCACCGGCUUGUGGAAGCGGUGUCGCUCAACGGAUAAAAGGUACCCCGGGGAUAACAGGCUGAUCUUCCCCAAGAGUCCAUAUCGACGGGAUGGUUUGGCACCUCGAUGUCGGCUCGUCGCAUCCUGGGGCUGGAGUAGGUCCCAAGGGUUGGGCUGUUCGCCCAUUAAAGCGGCACGCGAGCUGGGUUUAGAACGUCGUGAGACAGUUCGGUCUCUAUCCGCCGCGCGCGUAGAAACUUGAGGAAGGCUGUCCCUAGUACGAGAGGACCGGGAUGGACGUACCUCUGGUGUGCCAGUUGUCCCGCCUGGGGCAUGGCUGGUUGGCUACGUACGGAAGGGAUAACCGCUGAAAGCAUCUAAGCGGGAAGCCUGUUCCAAGAUUAGGUUUCUUUUGAGGUCCCCUAUAGAUGAUGGGGUUGAUAGGCCGGAUCUGGAAGCAUCGUAAGGUGUGGAGGUGACCGGUACUAAUAGACCAAACAUUCAACACACAAUAGAGU